GCCGAGUUCUCCACUGAGGCCCAGUGGUCUUUACAUGCAACAUCUGUAUCUCUGUCUACACUCCACUAUACCUCCAGGAUGUCCUCCUUCGCCUGAGAAGAGCCCUGUCCUACAAGCAUGCUAAGCACCAGGCCGGUUGCUCUUACCUGCCUCCCUCAGAUGAGCCGACUCCCAGAUCUUUGGCAUUGUGGUAGCAGGUUGGCUGGGGCUGAGAACUGAACUCUCUUGGGAAAACCAUUGGUCUUAUAAGAUUGUGUCCUGAACUUACCUGCAACAUGUCUACUUUCCUGCUCCUGGAGAUGACCAGUCUCUUGGGUGCCUCAGGAAGACACUUAACUUCCACACUUAGCUUUUAGUUCAUGACUCACAGGCCAGGGCCUCACAUUGUCUUUCUCUAAUGUAUCAAGAACUCAGCUGAGAGUCAUCAAAUUCCCCUGUCCUCAUA
rnacentral:lncRNA from 1 species